rnacentral:rRNA from 1 species
UAUACCGUGAAACUGCGAAUGGCUCAUUAAAUCAGUUAUCGUUUAUUUGAUAGUACCUUACUACUUGGAUAACCGUGGUAAUUCUAGAGCUAAUACAUGCUAAAAACCCCGACUUCGGGAGGGGUGUAUUUAUUAGAUAAAAAACCAAUGCCCUUCGGGGCUCUUUGGUGAUUCAUGAUAACUUAACGGAUCGCAUGGCCUUGCGCCGGCGACGGUUCAUUCAAAUUUCUGCCCUAUCAACUUUCGAUGGUAAGGUAUUGGCUUACCAUGGUUUCAACGGGUAACGGGGAAUUAGGGUUCGAUUCCGGAGAGGGAGCCUGAGAAACGGCUACCACAUCCAAGGAAGGCAGCAGGCGCGCAAAUUACCCAAUCCCGACUCGGGGAGGUAGUGACAAUAAAUACUGAUACAGGGCUCUUUUGGGUCUUGUAAUCGGAAUGAGUACAAUUUAAACCCCUUAGCGAGGAACAAUUGGAGGGCAAGUCUGGUGCCAGCAGCCGCGGUAAUUCCAGCUCCAAUAGCGUAUAUUAAAGUUGUUGCAGUUAAAAAGCUCGUAGUUGAACCUUGGGCCUGGCUGGCCGGUCCGCCUCACCGCGUGUACUGGUCCGGCCGGGCCUUUCCUUCUGGAGAGCCGCAUGCCCUUCACUGGGUGUGUCGGGGAACCAGGACUUUUACUUUGAAAAAAUUAGAGUGUUCAAAGCAGGCCUUUGCUCGAAUACGUUAGCAUGGAAUAAUAGAAUAGGACGUGCGGUCCUAUUUUGUUGGUUUCUAGGACCGCCGUAAUGAUUAAUAGGGAUAGUCGGGGGCAUCAGUAUUCAAUUGUCAGAGGUGAAAUUCUUGGAUUUAUUGAAGACUAACUACUGCGAAAGCAUUUGCCAAGGAUGUUUUCAUUAAUCAGUGAACGAAAGUUAGGGGAUCGAAGACGAUCAGAUACCGUCGUAGUCUUAACCGUAAACUAUGCCGACUAGGGAUCGGGCGAUGUUUCUAUCUUGACUCGCUCGGCACCUUACGAGAAAUCAUAAG